rnacentral:rRNA from 1 species
CGCAGCUAACGCGUGAAGUUGACCGCCUGGGGAGUACGGUCGCAAGAUUAAAACUCAAAGGAAUUGACGGGGACCCGCACAAGCGGUGGAUGAUGUGGAUUAAUUCGAUGCAACGCGAAAAACCUUACCUACCCUUGACAUGUCUGGAAUGCCGAAGAGAUUUGGCAGUGCUCGCAAGAGAACCGGAACACAGGUGCUGCAUGGCUGUCGUCAGCUCGUGUCGNGAGAUGUUGGGUUAAGUCCCGCAACGAGCGCAACCCUUGUCAUUAGUUGCUACGAAAGGGCACUCUAAUGAGACUGCCGGUGACAAACCGGAGGAAGGUGGGGAUGACGUCAAGUCCUCAUGGCCCUUAUGGGUAGGGCUUCACACGUCAUACAAUGGUCGGGACAGAGGGUCGCCAACCCGCGAGGGGGGAGCCAAUCCCAGAAACCCGAUCGUAGUCCGGAUCGCAGUCUGCAACUCGACUGCGUGAAGUCGGAAUCGCUAGUAAUCGCGGAUCAGCAUGUCGCGGUGAAU